GAUGAAGAACGCAGCGAAAUGCGAUAAGUAAUGUGAAUUGCAGAAUUCAGUGGAUCAUCGAAUCUUUGAACGCACAUUGCGCCCGCUAGUAUUCUGGCGGGCAUGCCUGUCCGAGCGUCAUUUCAACCCUCAAGCCCCCGGGCUUGGUGUUGGGGAUCGGCGAGCCUCCGCGCCCGCCGUCCCCUAAAUCUAGUGGCGGUCUCGCUGUAGCUUCCUCUGCGUAGUAGCACACCUCGCACUGGGAAACAGCGCGGCCACGCCGUUAAACCCCCAACUUCUGAACGUUUGACCUCGGAUCAGGUAGGAAUACCCGCUGAACUUAAGCAUAUCAAUAAGCGGAGGA
rnacentral:misc_RNA from 1 species